CCAACUAUCUGGCAAGUAAUUGGGGAUUACUCUGGGGUUAGAAUUUUCCUCCCAAGCUGCCCUGGUGACCCUGUCAAGAGUGGAGGCACCUCCAAAUUCAUAUGCAAAAAAUAAAGAUGCACCCUGCUGAGUGGGUGGCAGGAUCCACAAGAACCCAGACCUGUCCAUCAACCUGUCAGCAGAUUGGCCUUAAAGAAGACCUGGCCCGUGUCGACAGCACCCUGGGUAUCAGCCAUGCUUACCCAGCAGGCUGGGUUCAGCACCUGCGAUUCUUCCCUGAAGGAGUCUGUGAGCAGGGGCACCGGACAGCUGAAACCAAAGUAUUGUUUGUUUUAACAGUGUGGUGGUAGUCCAGCGCUGGCGAUGAUGACAAUAUUGGUGCAGUUCUCGUAUAUGGCUAUGCAUAUGACCCCGCAGUCCGAACCCUAAUGAACAGACUCUGCCACACUGAGGCCUGGGAAGUCUGUAUCUCUGAUGUUUGAUGAUGCAGCUCUGUGAUGCCUUUCAUGUGCAGCCUGGAGAUGAUUUCAUCAAUCUGCUCAAACUUGUCACACACUGAUCUUGUCAGAGACCACCAGUGAGUCCUGUUCUGAGCCAUUUGCUCAAAUUCUUUGAGAUUGAUGCCAGCCCACUGGAGACUCCUCUUCAGCUUAUCUUUGAAGCCGUUAUAGGGAUGACCCUUCUUUCUUUUGCCCUGACUGAGCUAACAGCUCCCCAUAUAAGAUCUGUUUUGGGAGACGGUGAGUAAAUGUGCAGAACAUUUACCCAUUCUGAUGACAUGUCCAGUCCACCUAAGUUGUGCUCUAAGUAACAUUUCCUCAGU